UACAGAGGUCUCAAGCGUUGUUCGGAUUCAUUGGGCGUAAAGGGUGCGUAGGCGGCGCGGUAAGUCGGGUGUGAAAUCUUGGAGCUUAACUCCGAAACUGCAUUCGAUACUGCCGUGCUUGAGGACUGGAGAGGAGACUGGAAUUUACGGUGUAGCGGUGAAAUGCGUAGAUAUCGUAAGGAAGACCAGUGGCGAAGGCGGGUCUCUGGGACAGUUCCUGACGCUGAGGCACGAAGGCCAGGGGGAGCAAACGGG
rnacentral:rRNA from 1 species